CAUAGCAAGUCGGUCCCACCCCUUCCCAUCCCGAACAGGACCGUGAAACGACUUUGCGCCGAUGAUAGUGCUGCAACCAGUGUGAAAGUAGGUUAUCGUCAGGC
rnacentral:rRNA from 2 species